GUGCCUUAAACUAAUGAGUAAGGAAAAUAUCGAGCCUUGGUGACGCUUGGCUUAUCUAAAAGAUAUAUGUAUUUUUUUGAGAGGUAAAGGUCGUCCCCUCGAGCGGUUUGUCUACUUUCACAAACUGUUCGGGUGAAGCGAUCUGCCUC